rnacentral:rRNA from 1 species
GAGGACGACGCUGGCGGCGUGGAUUAGGCAUGCAAGUCGAACGGUAUCAUCCUUUCGGGGGUGAGAGAGUGGCGAACUGGUGAGUAACACGUAGGUUAUCUACCCUCAAGACGGGGGACAACCCAGGGAAACUUGGGCUAAUACCGGAUGUGAGCAACUUUUAGUUGUUUGAAAGGUGGCGUAAGCUGUCGCUUGGGGAUGAGCCUGCGUCCUAUUAGUUAGUUGGUGAGGUAACGGCUCACCUAGGCAAUGAUAGGUAGGCGGCCUUAACGGGUGGUCGCCCACACUGGGAUUGAGAUACGGCCCAGACUCCUACGGGAGGCAGCAGUCGAGAAUAGUCUACAAUGGUCGGAAGACUGAUAGUGCGACGCCGCGUGAACGAUGAAUCCCUUCGGGGUGUAAAGUUCUUUUAUAUGUGAGCAGUGCUUCUUAUAUUAACAGUAUGGGGAGAGAGAUAUUAGCAUAUGAAUAAGCAACGGCUAACUCCGG